rnacentral:rRNA from 1 species
AUUGAACGCUGGCGGCAUGCCUUACACAUGCAAGUCGAACGGUAACAGGUCUUCUGAUGCUGACGAGUGGCGCACGGGUGAGUAAUACAUCGGAACGUGCCCGAUCGUGGGGGAUAACGAGGCGAAAGCUUUGCUAAUACCGCAUACGAUCUACGGAUGAAAGCGGGGGAUCUUCGGACCUCUCGCGGUCGGAGCGGCCGAUGGCAGAUUAGGUAGUUGGUGGGAUAAAAGCUUACCAAGCCGACGAUCUGUAGCUGGUCUGAGAGGAUGAUCAGCCACACUGGAACUGAGACACGGCCCAGACUCCUACGGGAGGCAGCAGUGGGGAAUUUUGGACAAUGGGCGAAAGCCUGAUCCAGCCAUGCCGCGUGUAGGAUGAAGGCCUUUGGGUUGUAAACUGCUUUUGGACGGAACGAAAAGCAGCUUGCUAAUAAAGAGGGGUCAUGACGGUACCGUAAGAAUAAGCACCGGCUAACUACGUG